rnacentral:sRNA from 1 species
GCCCAGGCCUGCUGCCUCCCAUCCCUCCCGACACCACCCCCAAGCAUUCUGAGCAGAGGAUGGGCUGGGCCUUUGAGUCCCCCAGAUCCCAGAAGGAAGAUGCAGCACCUUUUCGGGCCCUGCCUCGGGACUGCGUACUCCACUCUGCACCUCAGGGCCACCUGGCUCACGCCAGGGCAUCCUUCCUUCCGGUCCCCACCUGGGCCAAGUGCACACACUCCUGCCCAGCCUUGGUAGCGAGGCCCUCCAGCAACUUUCCAGCGACUCGUUGCCUGUUGCAGCAGCUGCUGUCUCAGGCUUCAGCCUCCUGCCUGUGGGAAGGAAGAGCUCCUCCCCUGUCCCCUACGUUGCAGUAACUGCAGCCUGCAGACUUUCUGGCCCUUUCUACUCCCGACCCCACUGGUCCCAGCCUGUCCCUCUGCUGGGACCGUACUUCAGAGGCCCGUGAGCAAGGCCUGUUUCAGGGCUUGUGUCUGGGUUGGGUGAGGCGGCAGCACUAUCCCCUGGGACACUUGCAGCCUCAGCCCUUCGUUUCCUUCCUGUGGCAGGAUCCAGUUUGUGUGUUCUCUAUGCAAAUACCGGACCUUCUAUGAGGACGAGAUGGCCAGCCAUCUUGACAGCAAGUUCCACAAGGAACACUUUAAGUACGUAGGCACCAAGCUCCCUAAGCAGACGGCUGACUUUCUGCAGGAGUACGUCACCAACAAGACCAAGAAGACAGAGGAGCUCCGAAAAACUGUAGAGGACCUUGAUGGCCUCAUCCAGCAAAUCUACAGAGACCAGGAUCUGACCCAGG